rnacentral:rRNA from 1 species
CAACGCGAAGAACCUUACCAGGUCUUCGACACUCCCCUGAACCAACCCGAGAGUACGUCGGGGCCGUUCCCCGUUCGGGGGACAGGGUGACAGGUGGUGCAUGGUUGUCGUCAGCUCGUGUCGUGAGAUGUUGGGUUAAGUCCCGCAACGAGCGCAACCCCUAUCUCUAGUUGCCAGCGAUUCGGUCGGGGACUCUAGAGAUACUGCCCCGGUUAACGGGGAGGAAGGUGGGAUGACGUCAAGUCAGCAUGGCCCUUAUAUCCAGGGCUACACACACGCUACAAUGGUCGGUACAAAGGGCAGCGAAGCCGCGAGGUGGAGCGAAUCCCAGCAAAGCCGACCGUAGUACGGAUAGCAGGCUGCAACUCGCCUGCUUGAAGCUGGAGUUGCUAGUAACCGCGCGUCAGCAUAGUGCGGUGAAUACGUUCCCGGGGCUU